AUGCUCCCUGGCUGGCCCAGAGCUGCUGUGACAGCCCUGCAGCCCCCGGGACAGCGGGCACUGGCCCGUUAUGGGCUUAAUUACUGCGGGCUGGGGCUGGGAUGGGAUCAGGGCCUCAUGCUGGGGUGUCAGUUGUCUCUGGGACACGUCCCGGGGCUCAGCGCCGUGCCUUGCAGAGCAUCGUGUCCAAGCACAGCGCGCAGUUCCGGGGCAACGCGCAGCACGACGCCCUCGAGUUCCUGCUCUGGCUGCUGGACCGCAUGCACGAGGACCUGGGCGCCGCCUCGCCCGCGCAGGGGCCCUGCGCCACCGCCGAGCCCGUCCCGGAGCACAGCAGCAGUGCCGGCGGUGCCGCGGCGCCCCGCACGCAGAGCUUCGUGCAGAGCCACUUCCAGGCGCAGUACAGGUGAGCGAGGGCCGAAUCCUGCCCUGGGAGCAGCGCCACAGCCGCGUGGUGCUGCCGGAGGGGGGGACAACCAAGGGCUGGGACCCCCUGGGUCUGCUGGGCUGGGAGGGCUCGGGGAGGAGGGCAGUGAGGGGACACAUCUGGAGGUGCGGAGGAAAGAGAGGGGGGAAAAAUGGAAAGGGGAGGGAAAAGGAGAGGAGAGGAAAGGAGAGGACAGAAAAGGAGAGCAGAGCCGGCUGCUGGCAUUAAGCAUUGAUUUGAGCUGGGCAGUGCUGGGGCUGCGCAGCCAGCACCAGGUCAGCUGCAGUCACUGCGGUGCCAUUGAUAGGGUUCAGAGUGAACGGCCGGCCGGGGCUGUGCGUGGCUCUGGGUAGGCACCGUGGAGGUGACACAAGCNNNNNNNNNNGGCGGCGGGACCGGGAUGGGCACCGGGACCGGGACGGGGCCGGGGAUGGAGGCGGGGACCAGGGUGGGGACCGCGAUGGGGACGGGGCUGGGGACCGUGUCCCGGCCGCCGGGCGCGCAGGGGCUGCGGAACCACGGCAACACGUGCUUCAUGAACGCCGUGGUGCAGUGCCUCAGCAACACCGCCCCGCUCGCCGAGUUCCUCGCCCUCGGCCGCUACCGCGCCCGCGGAGCCCGAGCCGAGGUCACGCAGCGCCUGGCGGCCCUGGUGCGCGCCCUCUGGACCCUCGACUACAGCCCGCGGCUCUCCGCGGAGUUCAAGGUACGGCCCCGACGGCCCCAGCCCGGCCCCAGCCCGGCCCCGGCACCCCACGGCCGCUCAGCAGCUCCCACGAGCCGUGGUGCUGAGCCCCGCGUGGGGCCACGCACGGAGCGCGAGGGCUGAGCCUGGGGCUCCCUCCCGCUGGGUGCUUGCUGCCUGCUGGGCGCGCUCACCCCGGUGUUUUCUUUAUUCCCCUUGCAC
rnacentral:lncRNA from 1 species